UGGGGAAUAUUGCACAAUGGGGGAAACCCUGAUGCAGCAACGCCGCGUGAGUGAAGAAGUAUUUCGGUAUGUAAAGCUCUAUCAGCAGGAAAGAAAAUGACGGUACCUGACUAAGAAGCCCCGGCUAACUACGUGCCAGCAGCCGCGGUAAUACGUAGGGGGCAAGCGUUAUCCGGAUUUACUGGGUGUAAAGGGAGCGUAGACGGUUUUGCAAGUCUGAAGUGAAAGCCCGGGGCUUAACCCCGGGACUGCUUUGGAAACUGUAGGACUAGAGUGCAGGAGAGGUAAGUGGAAUUCCUAGUGUAGCGGUGAAAUGCGUAGAUAUUAGGAGGAAC
rnacentral:rRNA from 1 species